CCGAUACCCAAGCUAUGUACUCACAGGUGCGGGUAUUAUAAGUCAUAAGUGGUGUCAACCUUGAGGGGAUGACAUGUCUAACACGAUCGCGGCCCCCACUCAGGUUUUCCCCAGAUGUGCUUUUUCCUCAAAUAUGAGUUUUUGCCUCUGGGUUUUUUGCCUGGCCCAGAUCAUCAGGUGGACUGGUAAUCCUAGACCCCGGUCCUUGGACGGGGGAUAGGUAUUAUUCCCACUUUGACUAUAUGCACCCACUUCCGUUGACGAAGGAGGAAAACAACUGUUGGGAAUAAUAUACUUUGCCCAUAUUUACCUAGGGCUUAUGAUACAGAUGACCGGCUGGUUAGUCUGUUUAAAAUUGGUUAACAUGUCAGCUAUUUGCAAUAAUAUAUUUGCUAUAAACCCAAGUUUAGAUUAAAUGAUGCUGUCUCAGUAUACCCUGGUAAUUAUACUUGUUUUCAGGGAAAUAAUUCUGGUAAGUGGGGUAAGCAAUUUGAUAACUUCUCUUCAGGAUUCUGCUCCGCCUACAGUAAUAUUACCUUAGUGAAUCAAACACAAUCUGUUGGAGAUGUUUAUUGGAUAUGUGGAGAUAUGAAAAUAUGUUCUAGACUCCCCACCCCCUGGAGAGGAGAAUGUGACCCAGCCAAAAUAAUCAUGCCCCUCCAUAUAUUUGGUGACUCUCUCCCUGAAAUUAAGGUUGUAACUAAUUCCACAAGAAGGAAAAGGGAAACCCCACAAGGUAGUUUGGACCCACAUAUAUAUCUAGAUGCCAUUGGUAUUCCAAGAGGGGUCCCUAAUGAAUUUAAAUAGUUAAAUAAUAGAGAUGAGGUGGCAGCAGGAUUUGAAUCAAUUUUUCCCAUUAUAACAGCUAACAAGAAUGUUAACUGGAUUAAUUAUAUAUAUUAUAAUCAGCAAAGAUUUGUAAAUUACACACAAGAUGCAUUACAAGGUCUUUCUGAACAAUUACAGACUACCUCACAAAUGACUUUCCAGAAUAGAAUGGCCCUUGAUAUGAUUUUAGCAGAAAAGGGAGGAGUCUGUAAAUUACUUGACUCCGGUGUUUGUUGUACCUAUAUUCCAGAGAACACUGGCCCAAAUUUUAAAGUAACCCUAGCUAUAAAGAAAUUGGAAGACCUGUCCAUAGAAAUGAAGAGGAAUUCAGGUAUUGAUCACCCAUGGGCAGAUUGGUUUAAGUUUGACAGUAUCCUAGACUGGCUAAAGAAUAUUGGAAUAAUUAUUGUUAUGGAUCUGGUCCUUGCUCUACUUGUCUAUGCUAUUUUUAAGAUUAUUGUAUUCUGUAUUUACAAACAUACACACAACACUAUUCCUGCAAAAUCCCCAGCUUGCUAUGAUGAAUAUCUCCAAAUGUAUACACAUAUAACUGCAAUGGUAAACAUGCUGAUACAUAUCUAUAAGUAUAUGGUACUGGUCGAAUGCCUAGUCCUUUGCUAUGGGAAUAAUGGCCAAAGACAUAAUGAAAGACCUGCAGGAUUGGCUAGCAAUCCUGAAUAUACCAUGGCAGAUGGCUAGUUGUCUGACCAGGACUCCUUAAUAGGGUAUGAGCAAAAUAUUGCUCAAAGAGGUGGAAUGAAAGAAAUUGAAACAGUUAAUCGGUUAGUAUUCUAUUAGUUGAAUUAUUUUGCAAAUAUAGUAGCAAGCUCUUUUGCAGAACCACUUACAAAACAUAACUGAAAGGAAGUCACAAGCUAUAACAGUUUCUAUGUAACAGGAUGCGCUUAGCCACUAUGUAUAUGUGAUAUUUUGUAAGAAUAGAUUAUUGCACGUAACAGCAGUAACUAUUUCCUUGGUAUGCAUUUUUUGUAACCAAUGUUCGUGACAAACACUGUAUAAAUACAAAGCAUUUGAAUACAUUGUCAGAAGACUUUUGGAAAGCAACUUGUGUGUGUCUCGUUAUUACGCUUCCAUAAUUCUUCCCUGAAUAUUCAGUAGACAAUCGAGGGUUGGAGAACAGUGAGGGAUCGAGUCACCAGAGUAGCAGAUUUAUCUUUCAGUUAGCAGAAACGAGGGGUUCCAAGUCAUUUCCAAGUAGUACAUCUGCUGGUAAAUCCUUCAUUAGUCCUACGUUCACAUGUCCCGAACCAACCCCCCAAUCCAGGUGAACACGGGCAACGGGUAGCCGAAAAACGGUGCCUCCAGCCACCCUUACGGCUACAGUGUCUCCAGUGUGUUGAUUCUCAGAGACUAGGUUUUUCUGUAGCAGGGUCAUGGUGGCGUCAGUAUCCCUUAAACCAGUUGCUGCCUUCUCAUUAACCCGGACGGCCUGUUGGUGCUGCUGUCUGUUGUCCCGGUUAGCAGCUUGCACUGGGUCAGCCUUGUGCAGGAUAGCCCAACACUCCUCUUCUUCAAUGCAGUUGGCAGUUGGUACUGCUGGGCAGGGGUUCCCCCCGGCUGGUUUCCUCCAGGAUUGAGACUGCCUGGCUGGGUUCAACGGGCAGUCCUCCUUUCGGUGCCCAAUCUGGUCACAACCGAAACACCUCACGGGCUGGGAAUAAUUGCGGGCAUUAAAUUUCGGUGGCUGGGAAUAAUUGGAAGCCGGGGCGGGUGCUGUGUGCCGGUAGGACUGUGGUGGUGGUGGAGGAGCCGCUGUGGUAGAUGCCACUGGUCGGUAGUCCAUACAAGCUGCUGUUUUGGCCACCUGGUUGUCUAGCUUGUGGCCAUCAGUAUACUCAUCCGCCAAGCGAGCUGCUUUGGGUAGGGUGAGGGGUUUCCUGUCACGGACACACUUUCUGACCCCUGUGGUCAGCCUCUUGUAGAAGUGUUCCAGCAGGAACAAUUGUAGUUCUUCUUCCCCGGAUACCGCCUGGCAUCCAGCGACCCAGUGGGCUGCCGUGUAUACGGCAUGCCCACUUGGUGUAUGAAUCUCCGCUUUGUUUGUUAGUGUCCUGAAACCUCCUCCGGUAUGCUUCUGGGGUAAGAACAUACCUCGCCAAGAGGGCUCUUUCACUAAGCCAUAAUCUGUAUCUUCCUCGCCUGGGAUGGCUUGGAAGGCUUCGCUUGCACAGUCUGAUAACUUUCCAGAUAAGAUGGUAACCCAUUCAUCUGCGGGUUCCUGGUGUAGGGCACAUUGCCUUUCGAAAUCAACCAGGUAUCCAUCAAUCUCCCCAUCAGCUUCCACAAAGAUUUAAACGCAGCGAAAUGUACCUUUUUCUUUCCAUGUGUAGCUGGUAUUUCUGCUACUGCAGCACCUCUUUGUUGCAGGAGCAGUCGGUUCGCUUCCACAGCUGUUAUGACACGCUCAAUGAUGUCUGGUGUAGGGUUGGGGCCAAAAUGCGCCAGCCUUAUGUUGACCGCCCAGUCAAAGCUCGCCUCGUCGGUUGUUCAGUCAGUAAUUCGGCUCUAUCCAUAUCCAGCAGCUCUGUAAUGAUGUCCCUUUUCUUUUGGUUACUAGCUGGUCGACCUCUAGGGUAGAGCGUUUUAAUUGCUCGUAAUACGUUUUCAUCGGCUUGUGUCUUUGUAGCUGUCCUUCUGGGCUGUAGGAACCAUUCCGUCACUUGCUACCAGUUGUUACGGCACCCCAGGUAUAGAAGGGAUUAAAACCGUUUAAUAAGCUUCUUUUCUGUAUACCCUGACAGCUACCAAUCACUCCAACCAGCCGAACAGGAAUCAUAUGAACAUCCACACCUUAAACAGCCGAACGAGAAUAACCAUACGAAUAAUCCCCCCAAGUACAAGACCAAGCUCAGUAUUGAGGGUCAGCAGGAAUCUGGUUUAAUGGGGCUACCUGCCCGGUAUUUAUGCGGGUCUUCCACUAGGUGGACACUCCCCUGGUGGAAAACUGGUACAGAACAUUACAGUAACCAAUCAGAGCAUUGCAGAGAUAAACACAGGCAUAUUGUAAACCCUCCCCUCUAUCCCGGAGAUAAUUGGGAAGUAACUCAAUUAUCUCCCAGGAUAGAGGCUAAGACUCCAUUUUACACGUGGUACUGAAAACACGCAAAAAUAUAUAAUAUACAAAAACUACCGACCAGAAUAUGAGCAUUCAACACUUCCCCAGAUAGCUGAGAUCUGAGCGCACAUUAUUACCGAAUAGGGCUCAGAUCCCAUACACACAGUUCAAUCGCCAUGGAGCCAAAGUCUUUCACAUAGUCUUUUGUUAUACGAAUGGGCUCCAUGGCAUGGCUAUCUGGGGUAAGUCCAUUUGUGCAGAAAAGUACCGAACAGGCCGCGUUCAUAUGCUGGAUGAACAGAAGAAGGGAGGUCGGCAGCUGCAGCGGUGUUCGUGAGAAGGAGUGUCCAUUUUUAGUUGCAUGAAAUUGUCGACGAACACCGCUGGGCAUUCGUACGUCCAAGAUGGCCGCUGCCUUGUGGUCAGCAUACGAAUGACGACCACCCAGUCAGCAUUCGACAAUUAGGAAGUGUCUGCGGUUAACCCCAAUGUUCUGAUGAGGCCAAGAGGUUAACAAGCAGCACACUUCCAUGCUGGGUAGCCGGCUGUUUGGCAGUUGUUCGGUAAAAUGAAGAAAUAAACAUGGGGGCUGUACGGGCAGGAAACAGCCGAACAAACAGACAAAUUAGGGAAAUAUAAAAGUAAUUCGCAUAAAGAGGGUUCUGUCACAGACUCCUUGAUGUCUUCCAGGAUAUUGCCUGUGUAUACCUGGAUGACAUAGCGAUCCACAUUGAGUCCUGGGAGGAACACUUAGCUCAUGUAGGAAUGGUCCUGGAUCAAAAUCGGGCUGGCCUGACCCUGAAGCCAGAGAAAUGCCAUUUUGGAAUGGCUGAGGUUCAGUACCUGGGUCACCGGGUGGGGUGUGGAAAGCAGAGGCCAGAACCAGCCGAGAUAGAGGUGGUUGCAAAUUGGCCAACACCUCACACCAAGACCGAGGUCCUAGCCUUCCUCAGCACUGCUGGGAACUACAGGUGAUUUAUACCAGACUACAAUAGUAUUGCCAAACCCAAGACAGACCUGAGAAAGAAAAAUCUUCCCCGACAGGUCCUGUGGUCUCCCCACUGUGAGGCAGACUUUCAGGCUCUCAAAAAUGCACUGGUUAAUGCUCCUGUCUUGGCUGCCCCAGCCUCUAACAAACGCUUUCUCGUCCACACAGACACUUCCAUGUUCGGGCUGCGGGCAGUCCUCAGCCAAAUAGGAGAAGACAGAGGGGAGCAUCCUGUUGCCUACAUCAGCCGAAAUCUCCUGCAACGAGAGGUCGGCUAUGCUGCAGUAGAAAAGGAAACUUUGGCCCUGGUGUGGGCGUUAAAAGAAACUGACUCCCUACCUGCAUGGACAAGAGUUCACUCUGGUUACAGACCAUAACCCGUUGGUGUAGCUAAACUGGGUCUCAGUAGAUAAUGGCAGACUGUUACGAUGGAGCCUAUCCCUACAGCAAUUCAAUUUCACCAUCGCUUACAGACCCGGGAUACAGAAUGGCAAUUCUGACGGGUAAUCAAGACAGACAGACCUCAGUCCAGAAUAGCCCAGUUCUGGACAGCCUUAGUCUGCCCAGAAAAGGGGUCAGACCGUGUCUGCCAGAGUGUUCCACAAGGAGGGAGCCAUGUUACAGAGAUCCCCUCUGUCUACUACAACACAGAUACUUGUGUUGCUA
rnacentral:lncRNA from 1 species